AUCCCCUUAUCUGUUCAAAAAUUUAGAUUCGAAGACCCGGCUGCUGGUUCCCUCGGCGCUACCAUCGCAGCGGCGAGCACCAUCACUGUUCGUGACCUCCGCCGCUGGCCGGAGCUGUCCCGAGAUUUGGAAGAGAAACAGAGAUUUCCGCCUGAAUUCUCUAUUUUCUUGGAAUCAUUUAGUGUAGAAUUUUAAAUUUAAAUUAGUUUGGGCUCAAGACUGUAGCCCAUAAUUUAUUUUUCACAAGAUUAAACUUGUAUUAUUUAUUUAACAUAUCGGAUUCAACACGGAGGUGAGACAAUAAAUUAUUCGUCCAGGAAAGGAAUUAUUAAUA